UACGAAGGAUGCAAGCGUUAUCCGGAAUUAUUGGGUUUAAAGGGUGCGUAGGCGGACCUAUAAGUCAGUGGUGAAAGCCCCAAGCUCAACUUGGGAACUGCCAUUGAUACUGUUGGUCUUGAGUACAGUUGAGGUAGGCGGAAUGUGUCAUGUAGCGGUGAAAUGCUUAGAUAUGACACAGAACACCGAUUGCGAAGGCAGCUUGCUAAGCUGUAACUGACGCUGAUGCACGAAAGCGUGGGUAGCAAACAGGAUUAGAUACCCUGGUAGUCCACGCCCUAAACGAUGAUAACUCGCUGUUGGCGAUACACAGUCAGCGGCCAAGCGAAAGCAUUAAGUUAUCCACCUGGGGAGUACGACCGCAAGGUUGAA
rnacentral:rRNA from 1 species